ACUUCCAACCAUAUAAGGUACAUGGUUAGUACUUGGAUGGGAGACCGCCUGGGAAUACCAGGUGCUGUAAGCU
ensembl:rRNA 5S_rRNA 5S ribosomal RNA